rnacentral:rRNA from 1 species
UACGGGGGGGGGCGAGCGUUGUUCGGAAUCAUUGGGCGUAAAGGGUGCGUAGGUGGCAUGGUAAGUCGGGUGUGAAAUCCCGGGGGCUCAACUGGGGAGGGUCACUCGAUACUGAUCGACUCGAAGGCAGAAGAGGGAAGCGGAAUCCCCGGUGUAGUGGUGAAAUGCGUAGAUAUCGGGAGGAACACCAGUGGCGAAGGCGGCUUUCUGGUCUGCUCUUGACGCUGAGGCGCGAAAGCUAGGGUAGCAAACGGGG